rnacentral:rRNA from 1 species
AACGAACGCUGGCGGCAUGCCUAACACAUGCAAGUCGAACGAACCCUUCGGGGUUAGUGGCGCACGGGUGCGUAACGCGUGGGAAUCUGCCCUUUGCUUCGGAAUAACUCAGGGAAACUUGUGCUAAUACCGGAUGAUGUCUUCGGACCAAAGAUUUAUCGGCAUGGGAUGAGCCCGCGUAGGAUUAGGUAGUUGGUGGGGUAAAGGCCUACCAAGCCGACGAUCCUUAGCUGGUCUGAGAGGAUGAUCAGCCACACUGGGACUGAGACACGGCCCAGACUCCUACGGGAGGCAGCAGUGGGGAAUAUUGGACAAUGGGCGCAAGCCUGAUCCAGCAAUGCCGCGUGAGUGAUGAAGGCCCUCGGGUCGUAAAGCUCUUUUACCAGGGAUGAUAAUGACAGUACCUGGAGAAUAAGCUCCGGCUAACUCCGUG